rnacentral:rRNA from 1 species
UACGUAGGGUGCGAGCGUUAAUCGGAAUUACUGGGCGUAAAGAGUGCGUAGGCGGUUCGUUAUGUCUGCUGUGAAAGCCCCGGGCUUAACCCGGGAAUGGCAGUGGAAACUGGCGGGCUUGAGUGUGGCAGAGGGGGGUGGAAUUCCGCGUGUAGCAGUGAAAUGCGUAGAGAUGCGGAGGAACACCGAUGGCGAAGGCAGCCCCCCUGGGCUAACACUGACGCUGAGGCACGAAAGCGUGGGGGAGCAAACAGG